CGUGAUCAUCCUCGCGGACAGCGCGGCUGUGCGGGCGGAGAGCUGUCGCACAACCAGAACUGGACAGAGUAUUCCAGAAGAGGCCUCCCCCACAUCUUGUACAUCCUCAACAUAACGUCCCAACUCCUGUACUCCAAGGUCUGAACAAUGUAGAUCCCAGUGAUUAAUGCCAAAGCCCUGUUGCCUGGGGAGAGGGUGAUGUUUGACUUUCUUGUACAGCUGCAGUUUGUGUGGUGAAGGUGCUCCCACAAUGUGGUUGGGAUGAGGCUGUCACUGGCUCGGCCAGCAUUUAUUGCUGCGUUUACCCAGUGGGCAGUUAAGACCUAUAGCAACGUGGUUGACUCUUGAGUCCCAUGCAGACCAGACCAGACCAGAUCCCAGUGAUCAGUGCCAAAGCCCCAUUGCCUGUGGAAAAGGUGAUGUUUGACUUCCUGUACAGCUGCAAUUCGUGUGGUGAAGGUGCUCCCACAAUGUGGUUGGUAUCUAGGUUUGGAACGCUAAUCCACCUGAUUAUCCUGCUUUUUCCAAAAGGUGAAGGUGAGACAGGCUCCAGUGACUUCAUGGGGGCUACAACUCCCACAGUACCUGUGGCAGGGACCGCACGUGUGUGGGGAAACCCUGCACGCUACAUGUGCAGAAUGUGAGCGGGUUUUGGAACAUGUGCUUUGGGGUGCUAGAUGGUGAAGAUUUGCAGACUGAAAUCUCAAAGUCAUGUGCAGAUUGUGAUUAAGUUAACCAGCAUUUGAAGAACCAAAGAUAGAGAAUCACUCCACCAAAAUCCUGCAACACUCUCCCUCCCAGCAUUGUCGGUCUCUCUGCACCAAAUGGACUGUGAAUGGUACAAGACAGCAGCUCACUACCAUCUUCUCAAGGGUAACUAGAGAUGGGGAAUAAAUGCUGGCUGAGCCAGAGAUGCCCAUAUCCUGGAAAUGGUUUCUUAUCUCUAGUUGCUGAAACCCAGUUGAUGUUACUGCAGGAUGAUGAGGGACGCUGAGUGCAUCCUCCAGGAGGCAGCACCAUCACAUUACCCCUGCCUACACCCACACAGUAACACCGCAACGUCACUGGAACAAAAGGCAGUGAAACUAAAGGAGGACUUGGAUAUAGUUCUUGAGGUAGAGCCAUGAAAGGGGAUUGGAACACAGCAGGAACAGGAGACUGUGCUGGAUGGUCAGCUGUUUCCCAUUGAAUGGUGGAGCAGGAUUGAAAGGCCGAAUGGCCUCCUGCUGCUAUCUCCCAGGUAUGUAUGUAGCCAUGGAGCCCGGGUAGGAAGGAGUGGGCAGGGAUUCGCCAAGAGAUUGCACUUCCACAACAGGUUUCAGUGAGCGAUGGUUUGAUGGAUUUUAUUUAACAUUUACAAACCUUGUGUUAAAGAUAAAUUUUGGUUUUAAAAUGUUGUGAAAGUUUUUUGAACAGCAAAUAAAAUUAAAGAAAAUAAUUUGUCUGAAUAUAA